rnacentral:rRNA from 1 species
ACAGGACAGACCAAACUGUGUAGCCAUUAAAUUUAUUUUGAUAUAUAUAUUAUUUGUAUGGUAUUGCGAUUUAUUAUUAGUUUUGUUUUAUUUAAUGAUUUUUAAGAUUUUUAAUUCGAUUAUUCUUUUUUGAAAAUUAUGGAAUAAUAAUCCUAACGACCUCAGAGUAGGGGGAAACCCUCUUCCCUAAAUUUACAGCA